UUGCUGAAGGCCUUGCAUUCGUGGCGUCAACUAGAAAUUCUUGUGUUAAUGGAGUCUUCAAGGAAGUCAGCGACAUGCAAACAAGUAAUAAAUUAAAGGUCUUCCAAACAAUAAGCAUCUGAAUAAUGACAGAAAUGCUGGAAAACGGAAGCGUGAAAAGGGUCCAGCUCCUCCCAUGCCUGUCAUUUGCAUGAGUGUGAUGCCAUUGCCUAUCGCAGAUAAAAAACAUGAUUUGGAGAUCAUUGAGUUGCAAUAUUAGUGAUAAUUCUACAAGAAGCAUAGAAACUGCAACUGCCAGUAUGACGGAUGAUCAAGUAGAUGAUUUUUUGCUUCAGUUGUUUGAAAUUGUAAAGGAGAAAAAUGAACUAUUCUGGAGGCAAGCCUAGUUGAGUAUACCUCUGCUAUAAAAUAGAAGCUGUCGACAAUAAUCAAGUUAAUUAUAAAAAAUAAGUUAACUCUGGAAUGAGAAUCCUGUAUUAUCUUACUGCUGCAGUAGACUUCUUUGCUUCAUUAACUAUCGGAUGGCAACCUAUAAGAGAAAUAUCUGCUGAGGGAUCAAAAAGACUUCUAUGGAAACUGAAUUUAUUAAACUGAAUACGCGU